CCUACGGGGGGCAGCAGUGGGGAAUAUUGGACAAUGGGGGCAACCCUGAUCCAGUCAUGCCGCGUGUGUGAAGAAGGCCCUCGGGUUGUAAAGCACUUUCAGUGAGGAAGAACGCCUGGUGGUUAAUACCCAUCAGGAAAGACAUCACUCACAGAAGAAGCACCGGCUAACUCCGUGCCAGCAGCCGCGGUAAUACGGAGGGUGCGAGCGUUAAUCGGAAUUACUGGGCGUAAAGCGCGCGUAGGUGGCUUGAUAAGCCGGUUGUGAAAGCCCCGGGCUCAACCUGGGAACGGCAUCCGGAACUGUCAAGCUAGAGUGCAGGAGAGGAAGGUAGAAUUCCCGGUGUAGCGGUGAAAUGCGUAGAGAUCGGGAGGAAUACCAGUGGCGAAGGCGGCCUUCUGGACUGACACUGACACUGAGGUGCGAAAGCGUGGGUAGCAAACAGGAUUAGAUACCCGUGUAGUC
rnacentral:rRNA from 1 species